rnacentral:rRNA from 1 species
UACGUAGGGGGCAAGCGUUGUCCGGAUUUAUUGGGCGUAAAGAGCGUGUAGGCGGCCAGACAGGUCAGCUGUGAAAACUCGAGGCUCAACCUCGAGACGUCGGUUGAAACCGUCUGGCUAGAGUCCGGAAGAGGAGAGUGGAAUUCCCGGUGUAGCGGUGAAGUGCGCAGAUAUCGGGAAGAACACCCGUGGCGAAGGCGGCUCUCUGGGACGGUACUGACGCUGAGACGCGAAAGCGUGGGGAGCGAACAGG